rnacentral:rRNA from 1 species
GUCCACGCCGUAAAACGAUGGGUGCUAGACGUUGGCGAGCUUGCUCGUCAGUGUCGCAGCUAACGCGUUAAGCACCCCGCCUGGGGAGUACGGCCGCAAGGUUGAAACUCAAAGGAAUUGACGGGGGCCCGCACAAGCGGUGGAGCAUGUGGUUCAAUUCGACGCAACGCGCAGAACCUUACCAGCCCUUGACAUGUGACUCGCCGGUACGAGAGAUCGUACCUUCGGUUCGGCCGGAGUCAGCACAGGUGCUGCAUGGCUGUCGU